AUGAGUUGGGUCUAACCCAUAACU
rnacentral:miRNA from 1 species